rnacentral:rRNA from 1 species
CCUACGGGUGGCUGCAGUGAGGAAUAUUGGUCAAUGGACGUAAGUCUGAACCAGCCAAGUCGCGUGCAGGAUGAAGGCUCUAUGGGUUGUAAACUUCUUUUAUAAGGGAAUAAAGUGGGGGACGUGUACUCUUUUGUAUGUACCUUAUGAAUAAGGAUCGGCUAACUCCGUGCCAGCAGCCGCGGUAAUACGGAGGAUCCGAGCGUUAUCCGGAUUUAUUGGGUUUAAAGGGUGCGUAGGCGGCGUGUUAAGUCAGAGGUGAAAGUUUCUGGCUCAACCCUGGAAUUGCAGUUGAUACUGGUGGGCUUGAGUGUAGUUGAGGCAGGCGGAAUGCAUGGUGUAGCGGUGAAAUGCUUAGAUAUCACGCAGAACCCCGAUUGCGAAGGCAGCCUUCCAAGCUAUAACUGACGCUGAGGCACGAAAGCGUGGGGAUCAAACAGGAUUAGAUACCCCUGUAGUC